ensembl:snRNA U6 U6 spliceosomal RNA
GUGCCCGCUUCAGCAGCACAUAUGCUAAAAUUGGAACGAUACAGAGAAGAUAAGCAUGGCCCCUGUGCAAGGGUGACACGCAAAUUCGUGAAGCGUUCCAUAUUUUU